rnacentral:rRNA from 1 species
UACAGAGGGUGCGAGCGUUAAUCGGAAUUACUGGGCGUAAAGCGCGCGUAGGCGGCUUUGCAAGUCGGGCGUGAAAUCCCCAGGCUUAACCUGGGAACUGCAUUCGAGACUGUAUUGCUAGAGUAUGGGAGAGGGAAGUGGAAUUUCCGGUGUAGCGGUGAAAUGCGUAGAUAUCGGAAGGAACAUCAGUGGCGAAAGCGACUUCCUGGACCAAUACCGACGCUCAUGUGCGAAAGCGUGGGGAGCAAACAGG